AGUGAACGCUGGCGGCGUGCCUAAUACAUGCAAGUCGAACGGCGUGGCGCACAGGUGAGUAAUAUAUAGCUAAUCUGCCCCUUGCUGGAGGACCACAGUUAGAAAUGACUGCUAAAACUCCAUAGCAAGGGAUGAGAGUAUAUCGUAUCAGCUAGUCGGUGGGGUCACGGCCUACCGCGGCGAUGACGCGUAACUGGUCUGAGAGGAUGAUCAGUCACAUUGGAACUGAGACACGGUCCAAAAACAGACGAGAGGCAGCAGUAGGGAAUAUUGCGCAAUGGGGGAAGACGUGACGCAGCAACGCCUCGUGGAGUAUGACACUUUUCGGAGCGUAAACUCCUUUUGUUAGGGAAGCGGUACCUAACGAAUAAGCACCGGCUAACUCCGUGCCAGCAGCCGCGGUAAUAC
rnacentral:rRNA from 1 species